AUUGAACGCUGGCGGCAGGCCUAACACAUGCAAGUCGAACGAGUGGCGGACGGGUGAGUAAUGUCUGGGAAACUGCCUGAUGGAGGGGGAUAACUACUGGAAACGGUAGCUAAUACCGCAUACCAUCGGAUGUGCCCAGAUGGGAGUAGCUAGUAGGUGGGGUAAAGGCGAACCUAGGCGACGAUCCCUAGCUGGUCUGAGAGGAUGACGAGCGACACUGGAACGGAGAAAGGGUCCAGACUCCUACGGGAGGAAGCAGUGGGGAAUAUUGGACAAUGGGCGCAAGCCUAAUGCAGCCAUGCCGGGGGGAUGAAGAAGGCCUUCGGGUAGUAAAGUAUUUUCAGCGGGGAGGCGUUACCCGCAGAAGAAGCACCGGCUAACGCCGUGCCAGCAGCCGCGGUAAUAC
rnacentral:rRNA from 1 species